rnacentral:piRNA from 1 species
GAAUGAGGGAACGGAACUGAGGA